GGGUAUAGCUCAGUGGUAUAGCGCGUGCUGAGCUUGCACGAGGUCCCAGGUUCGAUCCCUAGUACUGCCA
rnacentral:tRNA from 1 species